rnacentral:rRNA from 1 species
UACAGGGGGGGCAAGCGUUGUUCGGAAUUACUGGGCGUAAAGGGCUCGUAGGUGGCCAACUAAGUCAGACGUGAAAUCCCUCAGCUUAACUGGGGAACUGCGUCUGAUACUGGAUGGCUUGAGUUUGGGAGAGGGAUGCGGAAUUCCAGGUGUAGCGGUGAAAUGCGUAGAUAUCUGGAGGAACACCGGUGGCGAAGGCGGCAUCCUGGACCAACACUGACGCUGAGGAGCGAAAGCCAGGGGAGCAAACGGG